UUGAAACCUAUGCAAGCUUAUCCAACUCAAGGUCCUAUGGGCUACAUGUGGCCCAGGACAGCUUAGAAGGCAGCGCAACACAAAUUCGUAAACAUUAUGGAUUGUCUUGUGAUUUUUUUUGUUGUUGUUGGCUCAUCGGCUAUUGUUAGUGUUAGUGCAUUUCAUGUGUGGCCCAAGACACACAUUCUUCUUCUUCCAAUGUGGUCCAGGGAAGCCAAAAGAUUGGACACACCUGCUAUAAAGUCUACCUCACUCUGACCAUGAGACCCACCAUGUGUGCAUGGAAAUGAUAGGCUGCUUUUAGUAGCAUAUCACUGGAUAUCACUGGAUAUGGUUUUAUUCCAUUUAGACAUAGAAUUGAUUGCCUGAAUGUGCUGGGAAUUAAUAAAUCCCUAGUGGAAACCCACUGAUUAAGAUAGGGAUCUCUUUAAUGUAUGCAGAAUUUUUGUGGAUUUGGCGGUUGUAUGAAGAAUAAGUGAAUCUACCAGAACUUCCUAGUAGCUAAGGUAUAUAUUGCCAAAAUUGUCAAGAAUUAUCAAGCUCUAAAUUAGGAGAAUAGCAUUUUCUCUCAGCCUAUUGGUGUCAGAAUCAGUCAUUCAGCAUUUCUAACGUCCUGAUUUAUUCUUAUUUCUUCCUAUAUGCUGCAUGAGGAUACUUAUUACUACCAAAAUUUAGGGUAGAAGAUUAUGCAUUUUUUUGUAGAAUGUGCCUUGAUGUUUCAACUAAAGAAAAUAAAUUUAUUAUUAUUUUAUUCCAUACAAUCCACUUAAAUCAGAAUCAAUUUAUAUAGUCUUAUCACUCAUUGAGCUUCUAUCAAUAAUGAAGAAUAUGAGUUGCUGAACAUUUCUUCUGACAUGCUAUUUAAGAUCUGUCUACAAAUGGGUUAUAAUGCCAGAAUUGUUUAAUUUUAGAGAUUAUCUAGUAAAAUUUGUGAGCAUAUAGUGAAAAUUGGUAAAAGCUAUAUGCUUUAGAAAAAGGUUUUUAGAGGUCUUGGAUUUCUUAUAUUACGCAGAGCUUGUACAUUUGGAUCUCCCACUGCUUAGCUCGUAGUAGGUUUUCAAUACAUAUUCACUGAAUUAAAUUUAUUCCAAAUUUAGUAACUUCAUUAGUUACAGUAAAAGACCGUAAAUAACUUAUGAAGCAAAGGAAUGCAUUCAAAGAUUUCAGAUAAAAGAAGUUACAGUUUGGAAAAGUUAUCAGGUACUAAGUGAGAUUAUCUUUUGGUUAAAACAUAGGAUCUAGUAUAAUUUGGGGGGUCCACCACUCCUAAAAUAAAAUUUUCACCUCCUUGCAGAUUCCUGAAAUGUCUGCAUCUGGGAAAACAUUGUUGACAUUGGUUUAAUUUCUAGAUAUAGUAGUCACGUGACCUUGAACAAAUCUGUUCCAUUUGUAAUGAGGACAGUAAUAGUUUCUCUGCAAGUUUGUAGUGCAAUUAAAUGAGACAAUGUUUAGAAAAUGCCCAAUCCAUAGUAUUCAAAAAUGUGAUUUUUAUCAACGCAUUACAAUACUAUGGCCUUCUAUUGAAUACUUAGAACGCUAAUUUAAAAUGCAAAAACUGCUUUUUUGUAGGUACUUACUCUAUUUCAAAGUUUAAAUGAUUGCAGAUUCUGUUCCCAUUUUUCAGUUGGAGAGAGGUAAUUAACCAAGCAAGCAGUCAUUUAACGUUAAAAUAUUAAAACUGAAAGUGUAUAUGCUGGGACAAAGGAAGGCAAAAUUCAACUCUACUAACUUUUAAAUGAUUGGAACUCCCCAUCACCAACCCCCGUGAAGAAAAGGAUUUUGGCCAAAAGAACAGGUGUUAACAGCACUGCUUCUACUGCUUUAUGGAGAUUUUUUUUAACUAAACUGAAUUUUAUUAUAAAGAUCUUGAUUCCCAAAGGAUCCAGUAACUGAGACACCUGCACACUUUACAAUAAAUAAAAGACAAAGGAUGACAUAAGAACCCAUGGUGCUUAUAGUUACAAGUCUUCAGAUGGAUUUUAAAAUUGAACACACUUGGGAUGGUUUUCCAGUGAAGCACGAGCCAGUAUUUAUCAGGCUGAAUCCAGGUGACAGAGGAGUGAUGAUGGACAUUAGUGCUCCAUUUUUCAACGAUCCUCCAGCCCCACUUGGAGAACCAGGAAAACCUUUCAAUGAACUGUGGGAUUGUGAAGUUGUGGAAGCAUUUUUCUUGAAUGAUGUAACUGAGCAGUAUUUAGAAGUUGAACUUUGUCCCCACGGACAGCAUUUAGUGCUUUUACUUUCUGGAAGAAGAAAUGUGUGGAAACAAGAACUUCCUUUAUCAUUCAGAGUGUCCAGAGGAGAGACAAAAUGGGAAGGCAAAGCUUAUCUCCCUUGGAGUUAUUUUCCACCAAAUGUGACAAAAUUCAAUUCAUUUGCAAUUCAUGGAUCAGAAGAUCAACGAAGUUAUGAAGCUCUUUACCCUGUACCUCAGCAUGAACUGCAACAAGGACAAAAACCUGAUUUAGCUAAAGGGCCAGAGGCAUCAGUGUUUCCUGGUGUGAACAAACGGUCCCCUGUUACAAGGAAAUCUAAUCUUCAGUUAUCUCUGUAGUUCUCCUCUUCUGGUAACCUCAUAAGGAUAAAAAUAUCAACUAUGUUUCUAGGCAACAUUGCUUGUGAUAAAAAUGACCCUUAAGUGGUACAUUACAUCUGGACUGAGAAUAAUUUUGGAUGAACUAUAAAUAUAUGAUGGAGACAGCAUGACUUUGGGAUUCCCCUGUAACAGUCAUCUUCCCUGUGGGAACCCUGGAAACUAUGGCUUUGGAGUUAUUCCAAGAGAUACUGCUCUCAUGGGGCAGCAGGCAUUUGAGCCAAGCCAUCGCCUAGAAUACUUCAAGCCUUUCAAUUUUAACACACUGCUUGGAAAAGAAUGGAAACAACCGGAAUCAGACCUGUGGCUAAUAGAGAAAUGUGAUAUACAGGAGUAAUAGAUAACCAUACCAAUCAUUUUUUCUCUAUACCUUUUAAGAUAAACAAAAAAUAAAUAUCAAUUUUUUUAAGAUGUCAUGCAUAUAUUUCAACAACAAAUAUUUUCAUAGAAGUCACUGAAAAUAUAGUAUCUGUGGCAAAUUGUAUAUGAUUAACAAGAAAAUAUAUGAUUCUUUGUAGAUUAUUUCAUCUGUAAAGUCACAGUGUUUCUCAGAGUCACUUAGUCCAGGAUGUUACAUUCCCAGCACACAGUACAGUUAUUCUUGAGAAGUACAAGUGAGAAAGAGGGGACAGUUGAGUUUGUCCAAGGACACCUAGAGCACUGUCCUGCACUAUCUUAUGAUUCAGCCAUUUCAUUCCUAGAUAUAUACCUCAGAAAAAUGACUGCUCAUAGCAGCUUUAUUCAUAAUAGCACAAAAUUGUAAAGUCAAAUUUCCAUCCAUAGGAAAAUGGAUAGACAAACUGCAAUAUAGUCAGUGGAAUACUCUUCAUUUAAAAAAGGACUGCUGAUAUAUGCAACAACCUGUAUGAAUCUCAAAAACAUUAAGUUGAGCAAAACAAGCCAGACAUAACAUACUAUCUAAUUUCUUUUAUAUUAAAGCCACUUCCAGGCAAAACUAGCAUUUGAUGAUAGAUACCAGAACAGUGGCUGCUUAGAGUGAGGGCGGGGAAUUCAAAUUGAAUGGAAAAGGGGCCUGAGGAAAUUUUCUAGGGUGAUUGAAAUGUUUUGUAUUUUGAUCUGGAUGAUGGUUAUGUAGCUGCAUACAUUUGUCAACAUUCCUCAUGUUUAGAUUUGUGAUUUUAGUAUAUGUAAAUUAAUUCCUUAAUAAAAUACUAUUAUAAAAUAAGCUGUAAAUUAAAUGGAAUUAACUUCAAGUUUA